rnacentral:tRNA from 1 species
ACCUGGCUGGCUCAGUAUGUAAAGCAUGUGACUCUUGAUCCUGGGGUUAUGAGUUCAAGCCCCAUGCUGGGUA